UACGUAGGGUGCAGGCGUUAAUCGGAAUUACUGGGCGUAAAGCGUGCGCAGGCGGUUCGUUGUGUCGGCGGUGAAAGCCCCGGGCUCAACCUGGGAAUGGCCGUUGAAACUGGCGAACUGGAGUGUGGCAGAGGGGGGUGGAAUUCCGCGUGUAGCAGUGAAAUGCGUAGAGAUGCGGAGGAACACCGAUGGCGAAGGCAGCCCCCUGGGCUAACACUGACGCUCAGGCACGAAAGCGUGGGGAGCAAACAGG
rnacentral:rRNA from 1 species